rnacentral:rRNA from 1 species
UACGGAGGGAGCUAGCGUUGUUCGGAUAUACUGGGCGUAAAGCGCACGUAGGCGGCGCCGUAAGUCAGGGUGAAAUCCCGGAGCUCAACUCCGGAACUGCCCUUGAAACUGCAGUGCUAGAAUCUUGGAGAGGCGAGUGGAAUUCCGAGUGUAGAGGUGAAAUUCGUAGAUAUCUGGAGGAACACCGGUGGCGAAGGCGGCAUCCUGGACCAAUAUUGACGCAUGAGGAGCGAAAGCCAGGGGAGCAAAGCAGG